rnacentral:rRNA from 1 species
UACGUAGGGGGCGAGCGUUGUCCGGAAUGACUGGGCGUAAAGGGCGUGUAGGCGGCCGACUAAGUAUGGAGUGAAAGUCCCGAUUUCAAGUUGGGAACUGCUUUGUAGACUGGUUGGCUUGAGUGCGGAAGAGGUAAGUGGAAUUCCCAGCGUAGCGGUGAAAUGCGUAGAGAUUGGGAGGAACACCAGUGGGGAAGGCGACUUACUGGGCCGUAACUGACGCUGAGGCGCGAAAGCGUGGGGAGCGAAC